rnacentral:misc_RNA from 1 species
GGAAGGAUCAUUAAUGAAACUUCAAGUCGGCUGUUCUGUGCUGGUGGCAACACAUGUGCACGUUCAGUCGCAAUCCACACACCUGUGCACUUUGACUCUGAGCACCGCCGGUAACACGGCAGAAGGUUUGAGAUGAAGGUCUUAACCCGGUACUCGAGUACUUUACACACUCUGUAUGUAAUAGAAUGUAACUGUACAAUGUACAACUAUAAACAACUUUCAACAACGGAUCUCUUGGCUCUCGCAUCGAUGAAGAACGCAGCGAAAUGCGAUAAGUAAUGUGGAUUGCAGAAUUCAGUGAAUCAUCGAAUCUUUGAACGCACCUUGCACCCUUUGGUAUUCCGAAGGGUACACCCGUUUGAGUGUCAUUGUAAUCUCACUCCGACACCUUUAUUGAUGUCGGAUGUGGACUUGGAUGCUGUCGUGUUCAACGACUCGUCUUAAAUGUCUGAGUGUACCCUGCUUUGCAGCGUAUCAGUGUGAUAAACAUCUUCACUGUUAAGUCUCUCGGGACACGCUUGUGUUGUAGGCUCUAUGCUUUCCAACCGUCCUCUGGACAAUCUCUGACAAUUUGACCUCAAAUCGGGUGGGACUACCCGCUGAACUUAAGCAUAUCAAUAAGCGGAGGAAAAGAAACUAACAAGGAUUCCCCUAGUAACGGCGAGUGAAGAGGGAAAAGCUCAAAUUUUGAAUCUGGUGUCUUUGACUCCCGAGUUGUAAUCUAGAGAAGUGUUUUCCGCGUUGGACCGUGCAAAAGUUCCCUGGAACGGGGCGUCAUAGAGGGUGAGAAUCCCGUAUAUGGCACGGACUACCAUUGCUAUGUGAUACACUCUCAACGAGUCGAGUUGUUUGGGAAUGCAGCUCAAAAUGGGUGGUAAAUUCCAUCUAAAGCUAAAUAUUGGCGAGAGACCGAUAGCGAACAAGUACCGUGAGGGAAAGAUGAAAAGCACUUUGGAAAGAGAGUGAAACAGUACGUGAAAUUGUUGAAAGGGAAGCGUUUGAAGUCAGUCAUGUCUGUCGGAAUUCAGCCUGGCUUCUGCCUGGUGUAUUUUCUGGCUGACAGGUCAGCAUCAAUUUCGACCGAGGGAAAAAGACUUGGGGAAUGUGGCUGUCUUCGGGCAGUGUUAUAGACCCUUGUUGUAUGUCUCGGUUGGGAUUGAGGAACGCAGCGCGCCUUUUGGCCGGGGUUCGCGCCCUCGGUACGCGCUUAGGAUGCUGGCAUAAUGGCUUUAAGCGACCCGUCUUGAAACACGGACCAAGGAGUCUAACAUGUGCGCGAGUGUUUGGGUGUUAAACCCGGGCGCGUAAUGAAAGUGAAAGGUCGGGAUCAUGAACUUGUGCACCGACGCCCGGAGCAGACCUUCUGUGACGCAUCCGCGGUAGAGCGUAUAUGUUGGGACCCGAAAGAUGGUGAACUAUGCCUGAAUAGGGUGAAGCCAGAGGAAACUCUGGUGGAGGCUCGUAGCGAUUCUGACGUGCAAAUCGAUCGUCAAAUUUGGGUAUAGGGGCGAAAGACUAAUCGAACCAUCUAGUAGCUGGUUCCUGC